rnacentral:rRNA from 1 species
CCUACGGGAGGCAGCAGUAGGGAAUAUUGCUCAAUGGGGGAAACACUGAAGCAGCAACGCCGCGUGGAGGAUGAAGGUUUUAGGAUUGUUAACUCCUUUUGUGAGAGAAGAUAAUGACGGUAUCUCACGAAUAAGCACCGGCUAACUCCGUGCCAGCAGCCGCGGUAAUACGGAGGGUGCGGUCGUUAAUCGGAAUUUCUGGGCGUUAAGCGCUCGUAGGCGGUAUGUCAAGUCAAGGGUGAAAUCCCCGGGCUCAACGUGGGAACUGCCUUUGAAACUGGCAAACUGGAGUGUGUGAGAGGAUAGUGGAAUUCCAGGUGUAGGAGUGAAAUCCGUAGAUAUCUGGAGGAACAUCAGUGGCGAAGGCGACUAUCUGGCACAUAACUGACGCUGAGGAGCGAAAGCGUGGGUAGCAAACAGGAUUAGAUACCCUAGUAGUC